rnacentral:rRNA from 1 species
GAUGAACGCUGGCGGUGUGCCUAAUACAUGCAAGUCGAGCGAAUGGAUUAAGAGCUUGCUCUUAUGAAGUUAGCGGCUGACGGGUGAGUAACACGUGGGUAACCUGCCCAUAAGACUGGGAUAACUCCGGGAAACCGGGGCUAAUACCGGAUAACAUUUUGAACCGCAUGGUUCGAAAUUGAAAGGCGGCUUAGGCUGUCACUUAUGGAUGGACCCGCGUCGCAUUAGCUAGUUGGUGAGGUAACGGCUCACCAAGGCAACGAUGCGUAGCAGACCUGAGAGGGUGAUCGGCCACACUGGGACUGAGACACGGCCCAGACUCCUACGGGAGGCAGCAGUAGGGAAUCUUCCGCAAUGGACGAAAGUCUGACGGAGCAACGCCGCGUGAGUGAUGAAGGCUUUCGGGUCGUAAAACUCUGUUGUUAGGGAAGAACAAGUGCUAGUUGAAUAAGCUGGCACCUUGACGGUACCUAACCAGAAAGCCACGGCUAACUACGUGCCAGCCGCCGCCGUAA